ACCGGUUGAAGAGCGCAUUUGUUUCAUAUGUAGGUGCAGAUUUGGUGUGUCUCAGGGCAGAGUAUUGCAGGAAUAGCUGGAGAGGUUGUAGAAGAGUUACCGUGGCCUGUCGAUUCUGAGAUACUCCUCAAGGAUCAUCCUAAGAGCUCAUUGUUCCUGCUGUGCCAACAACCCUCUAAUGAUUUUUCUCCAGAAUUAACAAGUAGGAAAAAGCAACAGGAGCUGUAUCCAGGAAAAUAGUGCCUAGAGGCUUCAAGUUCCCGGCAUUUGGUUGGCAU